rnacentral:rRNA from 1 species
AUACGGAGGAUGCAAGCGUUAUCCGGAUUUAUUGGGUUUAAAGGGUGCGUAGGCGGAUGAUUAAGCGUGAGGUGAAAUGCCACUGCUCAACAGUGGAACUGCCUCGCGAACUGGUUGUCUUGAAUGCUCCUGCCGUGGGAGGAAUGUGUGGUGUAGCGGUGAAAUGCAUAGAGAUCACACAGAACACCGAUUGCGAAGGCAUCUCACGAAGGGGUGAUUGACGCGUAGGCACGAAAGCGUGGGGAUCAAACAGGAUUAGAUACCCUGGUAGUCCACGCAGUAAACGAUGAUAACUAACCGCUGGGUCGUAGUGAUUCAGUGGCCAAGCGAAAGCGAUAAGUUAUCCACCUGGGGAGUACGACCGCAAGGUUGAAACUCAAAGGAAUUGACGGGG